UUUUAUUUCUUUCUGGGUUGUCCGGCUCUGGGCGUGCGCUCCCCUCCCUCUCUCUCUCUCUCUCUCUCUCUCUCUCGUAUUCUAUUUCUACAAUUGGAAGAAGCUCGAAGAAACCACCGAACUGAUUUUCUCAGACUGCCUUAGAUUGGAGUAAAGUAUCUAGGUAGGCCAUGGCCGCCAAGAAAAUUAUAGCAAUAUGUCAGUCGGGUGGGGAGUUUGUGACGAAUAAAGACGGGUCGUUGUCUUACACCGGGGGCGAGGCCUUCGCGAUAGACAUUGAUGAGCAAACACAGUUAAAUGAUUUCAAGUCGGAAAUAGCAGAAAUGUUUGAUUUUUGUAUUGAUACAAUGAUUAUCAAGUAUUUCCUUCCUGGGAAUAAGAAGACUCUCAUCACAAUUUCCAAAGACAAGGACUUGCAACGCAUGGUGAAUUUCCUCGGUGAUUCUGUCACGGUUGAUGUGUUUAUCAUGUCAGAGGAAGCUGCUGCUCGAAAUGUAUCCAACAUGCCUGGUAGUAGGUCAAGCAGGACAACUGUUUCAGAAGCAGUGGUUCCGGUAGUUACCCCUAUUGAUAUUCAAGUUGAUACAGCUAAUGCCAAUAAUCAUACAGAUAUGGAGAUAGCCAAUGAAACAGCUCUAGUUUAUCCUGCUGGUUCUAAUGAUGACAGACAUCGGAAAGCGGCACAACAGUGGGAAAACACCAUCACUGGUGUGGAUCAAAGGUUUAAUAGCUUUAGUGAAUUCCGAGAAGCAUUGCACAAAUACUCCAUUGCACAUGGAUUUGCUUAUAGAUAUAAGAAAAAUGACAGUCAUCGUGUCACUGUCAAAUGCAAAUCCCAAGGUUGUCCUUGGCGGAUAUAUGCUUCAAGGUUGUCUACCACCCAGUUGAUUUGUAUCAAGAAAAUGAACACACAACAUACUUGUGAAGGAGCCGCUGUGAAAGCAGGGUAUCGAGCAACUAGGGGUUGGGUGGGAAGUAUCAUAAAGGAGAAGUUGAAAGUUUCCCCAAACUACAAGCCAAAGGAUAUUGCAGACGACAUUAAACGGGAGUAUGGGAUUCAAUUGAAUUAUUCUCAGGCAUGGCGUGCAAAAGAGAUUGCGAGGGAGCAGCUUCAGGGCUCCUAUAAAGAGGCAUAUAAUCAGUUACCCUUUUUCUGUGAGAGGAUAAAGGAAACAAAUCCAGGGAGUGUUGCCUCAUUUACCACCAAGGAUGACUCAAGCUUCCAUCGUCUCUUUGUAUCAUUCCAUGCCUCGAUAUCUGGUUUUCAGCAAGGAUGUCGCCCUCUCCUUUUCCUUGAUAGCACUCCUUUAAACUCAAAAUACCAGGGGGUAUUAUUAGCUGCAAUAGCUGUAGAUGGUGAUGAUGCUAUCUUUCCAGUAGCCUUUGCUGUUGUAGAUGCUGAGACUGAGGAUAACUGGCAUUGGUUUUUAACGGAACUUAAAUCUGCAUUGUCAACGUCUCAGCAGAUUACAUUCGUUGCAGAUUGUCAGAAUGGUUUAAAAAAGUCAUUGGCUGAGAUAUUUGAUAAAUGUUACCACAGCUAUUGUUUACGCCAUCUUGCUGAGAAACUUAAUAAGGACUUGAAGGGGCAAUUUUCUCAUGAGGCAAGACGAUUUAUGAUUAAUGAUUUUUAUGCGGCUGCUUGUGCACCCAAACUUGAGGGUUUCAACCGUAGUGCUGAGAACAUCAAAGGUAUUUCUCCUGAAGCUUACAAUUGGGUUAUAGAAAGUGACCCAGAGCAUUGGGCAAAUGCAUUCUUUGGAGGAGCAAGGUAUAACCUCAUGACAUCAAACUAUGGACAACAAUUCUACAGUUGGGUCUCAGAGGCACAUGAGUUGCCAAUAACACAGAUGAUUGAUGUAUUACGAGGUAAGAUGAUGGAAUCUAUCUAUACACGUAGGGUGGAUUCCAGUCAAUGGACGACAAAGAUAACGCCAUCUAAGGAAGAAAGGCUACACAAAGAAACUUCAAUAGCUCGAUCACUUCAAGUGUUACUCUCACAUGGUAGCACAUUUGAGGUGCGUGGAGAAUCAGUCGAUAUUGUUGAUAUUGAUAAUUGGGAUUGUAGCUGCAAGGAAUGGCAACUUACAGGUUUGCCUUGCUGCCAUGCUAUUGCUGUAUUUGAAUGCAUUGGUAGGAGCCCAUAUGAUUAUUGCUCCAGAUACUUCACAGCCGAGAGUUACCGUCUAACGUAUGCAGAGUCCAUUCACCCUGUUCCAAAUGUAGACAGACCAGUUCAGGGUGAAUCAGCUGAGGUAGUAGUUACUGUAACCCCUCCACCUACUAAACGACCACCAGGCCGACCAAAGAUGAAGCAAGCUGAAUCCAUAGAUAUAAUUAAACGCCAACUCCAGUGUAGCAAGUGCAAGGGCCUUGGUCACAAUAAGAAGACAUGCAAAGAUUCCUAGUGCACAACAUGUUAGGACAUUGUUAAUUAGAUUCAGCGUCAAAGCACAGCAGCAUUUUGUUCUGGACCAUUUUAAAGAGACAUGGCGAAGACAGGAUGCUUGCAUUAUUUUGUAGCUUUUGUGAUCAUCUUCUCGAUGAUUGUUAUAACCUUGAUGCAUUCUACAAAUGAAGAUGUCAAAGGAACCUAUAACAUGAAGGAUGGCUUUGGUUGGCGAAAUCUGCAGCUAUGGUGUGCGUGAACAUCGUCAUUCCAUUACUUGAACUAAACUCUCAAUUUCAACCUUUCUUCUUCUUCUUCUUCUUCUUCUUCUUCUUCUUUUUAAAAGCUGGACUGCAGAUUUGAUCCCAUUUGUUAUGUUCUUGACAUUGCAUUUUUCCUUGUUAUUGUUAUUGCUUGUUUGUAAUUCUCAGAUCUUGUUUGUUCAAGAGACUUUGUUUCAAUGUGGCCUACCAAAUAAGACAAGCGGUUUCUUCAAUGUGCCUCCUCCAGUCCUCCUUCCUCUCUCUUUCGUUUUCUUUCCUCUACUCUUCUUUUUCUUCUUUUGGUUUCAACUGAGCUCGGCACUGAGCUUCAUCGUGGACGCUUUUGUUGGUGACUUUGAACUCACCAAUACAUGCGUAUAUUGGAAACGGUGAAAUGGAGAAGAUCAUUUUCCGCGUUGAUGUAGUUAAGUCUCCUGAAUAACUGUCACUAGACAGUGAAUAUAGUCAGUUUAAAAAAAUAAAAAAUAAAAAUUUACUUAAUAUAACACUAUGUACACGAUUAAAUGCAACAAAUAGGUUAGGAU